rnacentral:ncRNA from 2 species
AACGGACACUCUGGAAAGCGUUCCGGCCGUAUCGCCGGAACCACCGAAGGGGUAACCCCAUGAUAUGGGGGAAAACUCUCAGGUUCCCGUGACAGAGGGGGCAUG